rnacentral:rRNA from 1 species
UACGUAGGGGGGCAAGCGUUGUCCGGAUUUAUUGGGCGUAAAGAGCGUGUAGGCGGCCAAGCAGGUCAGCUGUGAAAACUCGAGGCUCAACCUCGAGACGUCGGUUGAAACCGCUUGGCUAGAGUCCGGAAGAGGAGAGUGGAAUUCCCGGUGUAGCGGUGAAAUGCGCAGAUAUCGGGAAGAACCCCCGUGGCGAAGGCGGCUCUCUGGGGACGGUACUGACGCUGAGACGCGAAAGCGUGGGGAGCGAACAGG